CCAUAAAUUUUUCUCCGAUCCCAUUUGAAAGUCAUCGCCGCCACCGCGAGAGGGAUCCGAUCAUGGCUGGUGGAGCGGAGGAAAUGAGGGCGAGGGUCCGGCGCCGGGAGCGUUGAAAACAUCGAGUCAUCGAGCGUCUCUUCCCCGCGGGGGGUGAGUCGCUCGCAGCUGCUCCUGUGUUUCCGAUCCCUCUCCCGGACUUGUCCGCGUGGUGGACAUCAGCACAGCCUCAAGUGGGUGACAGUGUGAUGCAGUAAUCACGAACACAAGCCACAUUAAUAAUCCUGCUGGUCUGAACGAAGGAAUUUGUUUCAUCCAAAAGUGAUCAUUUAAGUCAUUUAUUGCAAGGUAGCCUGGAUGAUGCAACGACAAAGAUCCAUAGAAGCUUCGAACUAAUUGAGCUUACCAUAUGUUCAUGCUUUUUGUCAUGCGAAAGUGGCCUGGUGGGUGGACUGGAGGUUAUAAUAUCCUUUUUUACCUCUCUUGUUAGGUGCUGGUUGUGAUGCAAUGACAAAGAUCUUAAGUUUUUUUUUAUGCACCCGACCUACCUCAUUCUAGAAGGGGUAAUGCACUCUUCAUCAUUGAUGUUACAGAUACAUCAUAUACCAUCUUUCAGUUGCUCAGACUGUUGUGUUAGGUAAAGCUAUACUGAGCUUUGCAUCAUAUCCGCAUGCCUCCACAAUAUCUCACCUACUUUAGAUUUUGGGUUUUGUGGGGUCCUUCUAAUGGGCUGUAGUAGAACCUUCGAUAGACCUAACCUAUCGUAGGUAGUAUGAAUUUCAAAACAUCUUUACUUGGUUUCAUCUCUUUUGCUUCAGAAAACAGAUUUAUCCAAAAAGUUUAUGCGGACAUGACUUUCAGAAGCCAAAAAACAAUAAAAUAAAGCGGCCGAGCACCUGUCUCCCCACUCAUGCCAUUUGUGCAGCACGUCGGUACAGAUUCAGUGUAAUUUAACACGCAGUCAAACCAGCGGGGCAUUUCGCUUUGUUGAUAGGGAGAACCUCAUCACCAAUUGUUCUAAUGCCCAUAAUGGAGUACCUAUGCCAUGUCUUUGAGUGCAGGCGUGCAGACAUGAAUAAAGUACUAUGCUAGUCUUAAGAAGAACAAUAACAGGUAGAUACUUAGUUAGUGUUCUGGUAUUUCCAGUUUAUCUUACUUAUCUUUUUGAACAGAUUCUUCUAUUGCUGAAAUAUAUGUUCUUUGAGUUGACUCUUUUGUAGAAAUACUACCACUAGUUCAAGCUCAACAGUCUUGAGAAAGUUACGUAGUAUUCACUGGCUUGGGGAUGUUAAAUUGUCGAGUGUAACACUAAACUAAGGUUUAU